AUUCUUCUCACAAACAACCCUCACUGAAAGUAAUGUUCAUUGUGCGUGUAUGUGUGUGUAAGAGAGAGAAAUCGUGGACCAGGGCAGAUUUGGAUAUGAAACUGGUUUCAGGUCCUACAGCUCGGUAUCUUCAUAGCGCUGAUGUUUUGAUGGUUUCAGGUUCCUCGGUUUUGAACAGGUUGUCUGUCCGGAACAAAACUGUGUGAACUCAGCUUCCUAAAAUACACCAAAAGAGUUCAUAUUCAGACCAUUUAGAUCUUUCAGGGUUUUUUUAGUUGUCGCAGCAUGAAACCUUUUCAAGAACUGAAGACUUUUUGUUUACACAGAUAAGCUGAAAAAGUUUCAUUUGAGCUUCUGUACUGAGAUGUUUUUAGGGAAAUCAGGUUCUGUGGUUGUUCUCUGUGGUGCUCACUGAUGAUCUGAGAGUUUCAUACAGAACACACGAGGAGCUUUAAAUGUUAUAAGAAAUUUCUCUCAGAAAUCAUCUUCUAUUUUGGUCUUAUUUCCGGUGUGAAACUCCUUGAAGCUCGAUGACGCAGUAAAGUUUGUGGUCUGCAUCAUUUCCUGUUUCUAUAAUCCGCUGGAGCUCGCGCUGUCAGCACACUGGAAGUUCUCCAAACCGACAGCAGACACUUUCAGGUGGCAGCACAAGGCUGCACGCACAUUCACAGAGAGCACCGACCUUCAUAAUUCAGUGCCAGUAGACAUCGCAGAGCACAUCGAGAGCAGUGUAACUGGUGCUGUUCUGACCACGUGUGCACUCUGUCACUGAGCUCAUCCUCACGUGAGUUUCUCACCAGAAACAUCAUCUCACUUCCACACCCACUCUACUCACCAGAUUUGGCUCCUGUGGACUUCACCCUCUUCCUGAAAAUGAAGCUCCAGCUUGUGAAACGCAGAAGGUGCUUGAGAAGAACACUGGCAGCUGUAUUGCUGUACAAGGCGACUAUUUUGAAGGUAAUAGUGUGGAAACGUAGGUAAAUAAAGUUCUUUCUUGUAAACAGAGCUUUUUGAUUCCACCUUGUAUUUGUCAUUAAAUCUCCUCUAUAUAAUCACCUGUUUACUGAACCCUCACACACACACAGACUCCAGACUCGUUUGUAAAAGACCAUUCUUUUAUUUGAUGGUGUUUUUUGUUUCCACAGGAUUUACCAUGAAACCUAAAACUAUGUACAAAAUCUGGAAUGUAGAGGAAA